rfam:Citrus clementina cultivar Clemenules unplaced genomic scaffold scaffold_5, whole genome shotgun sequence.
GUUUACCUAUUCCUAGACAUCCGAUAAAAUUGGAACGGGACAGAGAAAAUUAGCAUGGCCCCUACGCAGUGGCGGUGCCAGAAAUUAUUUGUAGGGGGGCUAAAUUCAC